CCCAGUUCAGCACACACCGAUACGCAGACGACUUCGUGGUCGUGACCAGUCAGAACGGCUCUGGGAGCAGGAUAAUCACCUAAAACGGAUCACACACAAAAAGAUUGGAUUAGACAUUACGAUCCCUGCCAAGCUCAUACUGCAAUACAGUUUUCCCCACCCCAGCCCAUCAAUCCCUCUAGUGAAUUAUCCUAAGGUAAAAGACCAAGGAAACAUGUUAAAAAGAUGUUGUCCUACUUUGAACAGCAAGAAAUCAAGGGAAGAUGCACAAAUAUUUCAAAGUAGAAAAAUGGACACCAUUUUGCACUACCUUCUGGCCCUGAGCCCACUAUGGCCUCCUGGUUCCUGGAAUGUUCCACUUUUCCUUAGGACAUCCCUAUUUUCAUUGGAGAAAUGUUGGAAGGUAUGGAGUUAUCCGACCCUCAA